rnacentral:rRNA from 1 species
GGGAGCAAGCGUUAUCCGGAUUUAUUGGGUGUAAAGGGUGCGUAGACGGGAAAUUAAGUUAGUUGUGAAAUCCCUCGGCUUAACUGAGGAACUGCAACUAAAACUGAUUUUCUUGAGUACUGGAGAGGAAAGUGGAAUUCCGAGUGUAGAGGUGAAAUGCGUAGAUAUAUGGAAGAACACCAGUGGCGAAAGCGGCUCUCUGGUCUGUAACUGACGCUGAGGUUCGAAAGCGUGGGUAGCAAAAAGG